rnacentral:tRNA from 1 species
AGAAUGGCUGAGUAAGCAUUAGACUGUAAAUCUAAAGACAGAGGAACCUCCUCUUUUUACCA